rnacentral:lncRNA from 13 species
ACAUUUUGAAACAGAUGGAUGGUAAAGUGAUGAAGAAUGAAUUUGAUAUUCAAAUUCUUGAUUUAUUGGCGAGUUCUUGGCCAGACAGACCACCAGUUGAGAAAAGCUGGAACUAUUGAAGGAUAUGAAGACUGGUUUAUUAGAAGAAGGGAAAGCUACCUUACUCACGAAAAUGUCUUUGGAAGAAGGGAAGCCAGAUCCUGUCACAUAGAGGAUAAAAUAUUCAUUGCACCACCGAACUUAUGACAAGUGAUUGAUUUAUUCCAAUUAUGUUUGCACCCAUUGCUUGUGCGACAGCAUUGAAAAUAUUACAUUCUCCAUGGAGGUGAAUUAAUUUGGCGUCAACAAUGUGCGAGAUUUAAUACCAAAUGGACGUAAUACAGUUAUUGUUACGGAAAAGACCAAACUUGAAUAUAUUAGGCUCAUGUGUCAAAUGAAAAUGACUGGAGUAAUUUGUCUAUUCUUGAAAGGAUUUUAUGAUAUUA